rnacentral:rRNA from 1 species
GACGUAGGGGGCGAGCGUUGUCCGGAAUUAUUGGGCGUAAAGAGCGCGUAGGCGGUCCGGUAAGUCGGUUGUGAAAGUCGGGGGCUCAACCCUCGGAUGCCGAUCGAUACUGUCGGGCUAGAGUCCGGAAGAGGCGAGUGGAAUUCCUGGUGUAGCGGUGAAAUGCGCAGAUAUCAGGAGGAACACCGGUGGUGUAGACGGCUCACUGGACCAUAACUGACGCUGAGACACGAAAGCGUGGGUAGCAAACAGG